GUGACAGUCACAAUAGAAGCAGCAGGACCCUUCCAGAGGGGGGCCUGUUACAUCAGUGCCUGCAAUCCUGACAGGAGCAGUUCUAUGACUCCUCUUGCUCCUUUUGCUCUCCCAUGUUGCUUUGAAUCUGUAAGAAGAAAUAAAGGACAGAAACGCUAGUGCAUCAUAGUAAGAAUUCCGUGAGCCAUCGAGCAAGUUCACCCGCAGGCAAAACAAAGCAAAGGCAGCCGG